rnacentral:tRNA from 1 species
ACCCGGGUGGCUCAGUCGGUUGAGCAUCCGACUUUGGCUCAGGUCAUGAUCUCACGGUCUGUGGGUUCAAGCCCCACAUUGGGCU